rnacentral:lncRNA from 1 species
CUGCUAUUCUCAUAUUGUCAGUUCAGUUCCUACAGGAGAUACCCAUCCCCAGUUUUUGUCCCUUCUCUUUUCUCAGAAGGAAACCAGGUCAUUUGAAGCUAUCUUCCUUUGUGAAACAAGUCACUCCGUUUUCUUUUCUCUCUUUGAAGUUGGACAUACGGUAGUGCAUGCGGAGAGACUGGGCACAGAUGGGCACCUUUUCUACAGGGAGCUGUGCAGAUCUCAAGUGGGCAGGACAGUUUCAAGGCAGACCUAUGAAGCUGUGGUUUCCAUUGACCCAGGAUAUUCUGUGUGCACGGCUUUUAUGACUGUUGUUUAUCAGCAGUCUGAGAAGAAGAAAAAAAAAAAAUAAAUAAAAGAAAACUCACAGAAGAAAACAUUGGCUCAUUUUGCAAGGAUUAAUGGUGCCUACUGUACUGCACGCAUCCUCCUCCUGCCUUGGCUCUCUGCACUGCAGCCUGCUGAG